AAUAGAUGUGCCCUUGAUGGCCUUAUAGCUGAAGUAGGGGGUACCUGUGUAGUCUUAAGUGAAUCGUGCUGCUUCGGAAUCAACACUCCUAAUCAAGUAGAAGAAAACCUACAGGUCCCUUUUUUUCUUUACAGAAGACUGAAAUUCCAAGGAUAAAUGGAAAUGAUAGCUUCAGCUUUACUCGGGUGCUUCUACUGUGUUUGGGUAAAGAAGUAAGGCAAAGGCAGAUACCCAAAGAGAGAACUGAUGGCCAAUCCUGAAGAACAUCUCAACCAAAAUAAGGCUAAAGAGGAGAAGGAAAAGGAGAAGCUGUCUUCCUGGUCUCAAGGUGGCAGAGGCAGAUAUGUGGGUUUAUAUCUUAUAAAUCCACAUAUAAAAGCACACCUGCAGUUAAAAACCAUGCUGUUCAAGGGUCAUGCAGUUGAAGAGAUCUGGAAGUCAGUCUUCCAAAUAGGAUGUUUAUCUGAAAUAUCAAUCAAAAGAAAUCCUAGGAUCUAUGGAAUAAAAUAUUGAAGAACAAACAACCAAAGAGCUAAGUAGCAAAUGGAAUCUAACAAUAUGGGAAAUUAUGUUUUUUAAAAAGCAUAAAGAAAGAGGAGCUUUAAGAAGCCACUUCAGUCAUGCUAUACCGAGAUCCUCAACAUAUUCUCAGUGGCCAAAAGUAUUUUUGGAUUUUGCAGUUGAAAGCAAGAAAAAAAAAUCCAUAUCUUCUGUUCCAGACUUAAUUCCAAAUGUGCUUGCAUUUGUUUAUGAAAAAUAAAAAAAAAUCACA
rnacentral:lncRNA from 13 species